GUGCAUUCCGUGGAACGGAAGGGCUGGGUCACAAUAGAACAGUCCUAUCCUUGUCUGUAAUGCAGACAAUAAUAGGACAUGUUCUAGAUCUUUGCGGAUGCCACGGAAUGGACAUAUGGAUUUGGACAGCACAAGGUGUGCUAUCCGCACCUUUUGCGGC